ACCACGCGCCCGCACACCACCACAGGGUGGUCCCCUCGCUACCGCCGUCGGCCCUCCGUCCGGCACCACGCAGCGACUCCGUGCCCCUUCCUCCUCCAUUCCCAGGUCGAGACCAACCACGAGCUCCAUGCCCACACACGAUGUUCUCUGCGGUGGUGUGAGAUGCAGGGCGCGCGGUACCCCGAGGCGAUGGAAGCUCGCCCCCAUGGUACUCACCUCAGCCCGCCCCCUCCUUCUCAAGUAGGACUUCGCUGCCGGCGGCCUCCUUUGAUUCAUCACCUGGCAGUCUGGAGGUAAGUCCUGAACCAUGGAACAGAGAGACAGCUUCUUGGAACAGAGACCAACAGAUUAGUUCUCGUGAUGUUCCUGAUCUGUGCUAGAUUAAUUUCAAAUUUUGCUUCGUGAUGGAAGAAGUUGAAGUUGUAAUCACCAAUCUGUAUGAGUGCACAUGUUUUAAAAUGUGUGAAUUGACAAAAUUGAUUGUGACACACUGAGGGUUCAAGCUCUCCUUUUUAACAUGCCAAACUUCAAGUUCUUGUGCUGAUUUUGAAUAUAUAGCUACAAAUCGGAUGGAAGAUUAUUUCGUUUUCUGGCACAUUAUCAUAUUAGCAUACCAUGAUGGGACUCUGCAUAAAUUAUGUGAUUGUUGUAUGCUUAAAUUUAUAAAUUAGAUGGAUUUUGCUGCACGUUGUCUGCAGAAACUAGGCGGUAAUUGAGCUUUACAUUAUCUCUCUACUGUCUUCUCUACAGUUCUGAAGCACUUGCAGAUCAAUGUAGUUAAAUACUUGCAUGUUAUUAUCAAACUGAUUGCGCCCUUACCUUCUUGUGAAACUAAACACCGUUUGGAGAGGCAAUGGUGAGGAUACGCUGGCGCACUAGCCAUCUCCAUCAGGAAUAAUGACAUUAGAGGAUUCCUUUUUUAGGAUCUUGCGCUACUUGGAUAAAGUAUGGGGGACAAUAUCAUGUAACACAGUUACUUGUGGUGAAGUUUGUUCUCGCUUUUUUCUUUGUUUCGAGCAAGGAGUUACCAGCAAAACACGUGAGAAGCAUAUCAGUUCCCUUGUGUGGAGGCUCAAACUUGUCGUAUUAUGUAUUUAUUUUUUCAAAUGAAUAUGCAGUUGUUGUACAUCCAUUGUUGCACCAUUUAACUAUUCUAUAUUACCUCAUACCAGUCAUGUUUCUUUUUGGUUUAUUGAUGAGACAAAGUAAUGCAUGCAUGCUUAUCUAAUACAAGUAUUAUAUGCUAAGACCGUAGCGACCAUAUCUUCUGCUCCUACCUACCAUUAUUAGAUUAUAUUUUUCUGAUGCUUAUAUGCUCACUGGUUUUUUAAUUUUGGUUUGACAUUUUUCUUGUGGAAAAUGGAAUGGAUUCGACGUAUAUUUAGAUUGAUCGCUUAACUUGGUAUUUCUUUAUGUAGCUUGAUGCUUUCAGAAUUAUACUAGGAGGGUUGGGCGAGGAUUUAGGAAAUAGCAGAGGUGUUGUCGAGGACAUGAGAGAUGAGGUAAACAUUCUUCUAUGUGUUAUCGUGUGGGAUUAUGUAGACUGUGUUGUUAAAAUGGAAUGGCCCAAAGGUGAUGUACCGUUGUGCUGGUGAUGUACUAUUGUUCUAAGGCUAGCUUGCACUGUUAUUGAUGAUAUAUGGCUAUAUGCUAUCAGCAGUACAUAUAAGCUCUUUGUGAAUAGCCCACUCGCUUUAUUAUCCAAGAUAUGGCCUAAUUUACUCUUCAGUCUGUAUGUGGAUGAGCAUUUUUUUCCUGAUAGGCUGGGCCCUGUUUGGAAGUUCUGUAUUUUUCUAAACCGCAUUAUUCAAAAACUGAAGUGUUUUAGUGCUAGGGCUUGGAAUACUGCAGUUUCAUGAUACUGUAGUAUUUCUCGGUUUUGGCAAAAAACUGCAAGGUUGGGAAGUGUUGUUUUAUCGACCCUGUGAACGGCUUUUAGGCUAGAUGAAAAAUUAAAAUAAUUCUUCAAGCAAAGGACUUGAGAUGCGUCUGUGUAGUGUAGUGUUGUCAUUCAUCAUUUUUCAAAAUUGGUUUUGAGAUCCAUGGAAAUAAUAUACAGAAACGAAAUCAAAAUUUGGUUCACAAUGUGACCGUGUGUGCAAAGACUUAUGUCUGACUAUUGAUGUACUUCACUGAAUUUAUUAGCAAACCUUUGGCAGAACAAUUUCUGAAGAUUCCCAGGAAAGAUUGUAGGAUAGGAGAACACUUAACCAAACAUGGGUACAUCCAGUUCCUUGGCAAGUGAAGAAAUGCAGUAUUGGAUUCAUGUUGCAACAUCGUGGGGCUGCCUCGACAGUUGGCGAACCAUUAUACAUAGUUUGCAAUCUGUUUGUAGCUCUACAUUCCAUUGUAUAUUUAUUUUACCUCACAAGAACACUACUCUCUACAUAUGUGUUGUAUGGUUUGCCUCUUUAUAAGACAGUGUUGGAGAUUUGUCGUAAAAGGACAAUUUAGCGAUGUCAACUUCUUUAUUUGAUUCAGGUGCGUACUAUAAUUCGGGUGCUCCACAGUUGUGCGACACACAAGGUUUCAGUGGAAUUUUGUUCUUAUUAACAUAGGAUGAUAAUCUCCUUUUUGGCUGCAUGAAAGGGAACUUAAUCAUGUGAGAUGAAUGCUACAACUUUUGCGGUACUUCUAUAAGACUAUAUAACCAUGUGAUGAUUCCCACACAUCUUGCAGGUUCAGGUGUCACAUGUGCAUUGCAGCGGGUGGAGCGCAGCUUCCGUCACAGAUUGGGUAUCUAGCUCCAAUUUAUUAAACAGUUAUUGAAGAGCAUGUUGCUAUGGCAGAUGAAGUAGUUGACAAGCAUGAUCUAGCUAUAGAGAUCGCUGAAGGAGACAAAGAAGGUAAUCAUUUGUUUGUUCGAAUUAGACGGCUUCUCCGUAUCUUUCAUAUUUCGUCCAAGGUUCUAAAUUUGGGCAAAGACAUGUGCACCUCAUCCGAGAGAUGGUAAACAUGCAGGAGCUAUUCUUGCAAUUAGUAGCAGUAUGAUCAUGUCUUACUAGAAGGAGAGAGCUAUUCACCAAAUUCAUCUUUGUAUCUUGUUUCCGCUUAGAUGCACAUCUAUUUUGUGUUUUUGUUUACUAUCAACACGAAAUAAUCAGUUUGGAAGAUAACUUUGUCAUAUAUAUUUCACUGAUACAUAAUGUGAGAAAUCGAUGAUGAGCAUGCCAAAUUUUCUUAUGCGGAAAGCGCAUGAGGUCUAAUACAGUGUAUGCAUGGUUAUGGAUUUCAGGUUUGCUUAGUCGAUGUGUUCUCUAACUGUGUUAAAACGAGGGGGCUUGUAAUCUGGUAGAAUUACCUUCCAACUUGUGUAAUUGUCUAAUCAAGAUAGAUGGUGAUCCUCAUUAUUUUAGAGAACAUGCAGCACCUUGACACCCUUCACGCUUGAUCAGCUAGAGGUUGUAUCUGAGCUUUCUCUUUCUCGUUUGUGUUAUGGUUAUUUUGAUCUGCAGUAUUGCAUCAGAACUGGUAAAUGUAAGUAUCUAUUUGAGUGCAAUGAAAACCAAAUAAACGCAGUAUGAAGAAGUUGUUGGAUGUACCAAAAAUGCAUUUUUCGGAGAGCUUUCUGCAACUUUUUGCCUGCAUAUUUUUUGACAUACGAUAGACCGAGGUUGUACUUUUUUGCCUGCAUAUUUUUUGACAUACGAUAGAGUGUUCCUUAUUUGGUGGACUCUUUCCCUUAUCUCUAUUAAGUGUUAGUUCGUUGUCAUAUUUUUGUGUAGCUUGUUUCAGAGAAGCCAUAUUUUAUUUACAUGGGAUUUUUGGAUCUGAUUCUGCUCUUGGUUGUAUGAGAUUUACGCCAUUUACAUCUGUGUUAUUUUUGUUAUAUAUGAAGGGAAAAAACGUGGUGCUUAUGCUUUACUCAAAAAUGAAUUGCAAUUGCUCAAUUCAGUGACUGGAACAAUCCAUUAGAUGCUGAUAACUUGAGCCUCAUGUGUGAAUAUGUUGCUGCAAUUUGUAGUUUGGUGAUUCUUCUGUUUAUCAUGUUAUUAAAGUUGACUAAUAAUUUAUCAAACUGGUGCAGAAUCUCUCUGCGGACCGCGGGCGCCUAGAGGCGCUCAAAAUCUCUCUCUCCCGGCAUUGCUUCCGGCUUGAAUUUUACUUCUGCACCCCUCUCUCUUCCAUCACUUGUUCUGUUCUUGAGCGCCCAUAUCUCAUGGAACAAAUCUGUCUUCAUCACCCCCACCAGCACUCCGAUAGUUGGUGCCAACAAAAUCCACCAUUUUGUUUGUGAAGUGCAUUCUGAUUUGUGCAGGUUUGAGGUGGACUGGCUGAUUCAGAGGCUUCGAGAGACCACUUCAUCAAAUCUGGUAAGCAUUAUGCAACUAUGGUUAAAGAACGUUUAAUACUUCACACUGUGAGAUGCUGCUCUUGGAGAGCAACAUGACAACUGUGACCUUGCAACCAAUGUGGUGCUGCACGACCAUGCGAGUGACCAUCGUGCGGUCAGUUGUCUUUAGAACCUUCAACGCUGACGGUGACUCGCUUUGUUCCUUCCACUGCACUCUGGUGCAUUCACCAAUCACCACCACUAGGGAAAGUGUGGAGCUAUUUUUUUCGAUGGGAAAGUGUGGAGCUAUCUGUGUUGGGCCGUCAUAACUAUCAACUAAUUUUUGUUGGCUACUUCAUGGAAGGACGCAAUGGAUACAUGACACGUGCCUGUUAUUUUCUUAUUGUUGGUAAUAUCUAGCGUAUGUUAAUUUGGUUCUUGGAAAUUACUAAUUCAAAGAAUUAAAUAUCAGCAGAGA